rnacentral:rRNA from 1 species
GUCACGCUGUAAACGAUGUCGAUUUGGAGGUUGUUCCCGUGAGGAGUGGCUUCCGGAGCUAACGCGUUAAAUCGACCGCUGGGGAGUACGGCCGCAAGGUUAAAACUCAAAUGAAUUGACGGGGGCCCGCACAAGCGGUGGAGCAUGUGUUAAUUCGAUGCAACGCGAAGAACCUUACCUACUCUUGACAUCCAGAGAAUUUAGCAGAGAUGCUUUAGUGCCUUCGGGAACUCUGAGACAGGUGCUGCAUGGCUGUCGUCAGCUCGUGUUGUGAAAUGUUGGGUUAAGUCCCGCAACGAGCGCAACCCUUAUCCUUUGUUGCCAGCACAUUAUGGUGGGAACUCAAAGGAGACUGCCGGUGAUAAACCGGAGGAAGGUGGGGAUGACGUCAAGUCAUCAUGGCCCUUACGAGUAGGGCUACACACGUGCUACAAUGGCGUAUACAAAGAGAAGCGACCUCGCGAGAGCAAGCGGAACUCAUAAAGUACGUCGUAGUCCGGAUUGGAGUCUGCAACUCGACUCCAUGAAGUCGGAAUCGCUAGUAAUCGUAGAUCAGAAUGCUACGGUGAAUACGUUCCCGGGCCUUGUACACACCGCCCGUCACACCAUGGGAGUGGGUUGCAAAAGAAGUAGGUAGCUUAACCUUCGGGAGGGCGCUUACCACUUUGUGAUUCAUGACUGGGGUGAAGUCGUAACAAGGUAACCA